rnacentral:rRNA from 1 species
CUAAGAAUAUUCCGCAAUGGACGGAAGUCUGACGGAGCGACGCCGCGUGGAUGACGAAGGCCGAAAGGUUGUAAAGUUCUUUUGCUGGGGAAGAAUAACCGCAGGAGGGAAUGCCUGUGGGAUGACAAGAACCGGCGAAUAAGCCCCGGCCAACUACGUGCCAGCAGCCGCGGUAACACGUAGGGGGCGAGCGUUGUUCGGAAUUACUGGGCGUAAAGGGCAUGUAGGCGGCUUGGAAAGCCUGGCGUGAAAGUCUGCAGCUUAACUGCAGGGGUGCGCUGGGAACUGCUGAGCUUGAGUGACGGAGAGGGAGCUGGAAUUCCUGGUGUAGGGGUGAAAUCUGUAGAUAUCAGGAAGAACACCGAUGGCGAAGGCAAGCUCCUGGCCGAUGACUGACGCUGAGGUGCGAAAGUGUGGGGAUCAAACAGGAUUAGAUACCCUGGUAGUCCACACAGUCAACGAUGUGCACUAGGUGCUGGGGCGGUAGCUUCGGUGCCGGAGCGAACGUGGUAAGUGCACCGCCUGGGGAGUAUGCUCGCAAGGGUGAAACUCAAAUGAAUUGACGGGGGUCAUA